rnacentral:rRNA from 1 species
UCCCAGACUCCUACGGGAGGCAGCAGUCGGGAAUAUUGCGCAAUGGAGGAAACUCUGACGCAGUGACGCCGCGUAUAGGAAGAAGGUUUUCGGAUUGUAAACUAUUGUCGUUAGGGAAGAUAAAAGACUGUACCUAAGGAGGAAGCCCCGGCUAACUACGUGCCAGCAGCCGCGGUAAUACGUAGGGAGCAAGCGUUGUCCGGAAUUACUAGGUGUAAAGGGAGCGUAGGCGGGAUGGCAAGUUGGGUGUUAAAUCUACCGGCUCAACUGGUAGUCGCACUCAAAACUGCUAUUCUUGAGUGAAGUAGAGGCAGGCGGAAUUCCUAGUGUAGCGGUGAAAUGCGUAGAUAUUAGGAGGAACACCAGUGGCGAAGGCGGCCUGCUGGGCUUUUACUGACGCUGAGGCUCGAAAGUGUGGGGAGCAAACAGGAUUAGAUACCCUGGUAU